ACAAACAGGCAAAACGUCAGGCUGCUCAGGUUAUUUCAGAGGAAAGAUGAAGAACAAGAAGAUACAGAUGGAAACGAAAGGAUGCAAACCUGUCUUGGUGUUAAAAAGGAAGAAAGAAAUUGUCCUGAAGAAGGCAGAAGUCUGCUGGGAAGGCAUGAUCCCAACCCUCCACCAUCACUGAGCAGGAAGAGAGCAUGAAGAGGUUGGAGAACCUGAUAAUUGAUCUCCAGAAGAUGAUCUGUGAGAGGGAUGAACUUCAGUCCUAACCCAUUACACCAAAAAGGAUUUGAACCACAGCUCUCCUUGUAUCUUGCAGGAAAUUGGUCCAAGGGGUUCGAUGAGACUCUUGAGGCCCUGAGGGCGGCAAUUUUAAGGAUCAACUCGACGAGAGUGGACCCGUCAUUGACAGAGGGCCUCUCCUCCUGGAUUUCAUCUGCAUUUUCUUAUUUUAAGGAGUGGGUGGGGGUAGUUUUAUUUGUUGCUGCCAUCUGCUGUGGACUUGUGUUCAUGCUCUGGUUGGUUUGUAAGCUUAAAACCCAACAAAACCAUGACAAGGUUGUUAUUACUCAGGCACUUGCAGCCAUUGAACAAGGGGCUUCCUCUGAAAUUUGGCUAUCCAUGCUUAAGACUUAAAUGGCAUCUGAGUUCUCUGCCAUUGCAUCCCACGGAUUUGUGGAUCCAUUGCACUGGGAUGAGAGACACUCAACGCUCAUUGAUCAGCACUUGCACUUCGCUGAGUUUUACUAAUUUGUUUUUU
rnacentral:lncRNA from 1 species